UCUCUCUCUCUCUUUCUCUCCUUCUCUCUCGCUCUCCUGCUUGCUCCCUCACAUGUUCAUAUAAUUUCUUCGCUGCUGCCAGAUCUAAAUUACAUCGUUUCUUCGCGGAGAUUGAAACUACGACCAGGAGCACCACCGCUCCGGUGAGGUACCGUACCAUCGUGUCUCGUCGCCAGUGAGAAAUUUGAUCGGAGAAGAGGAUAGAGAAGAAGAAUAUCCUGUUGCUAGAGAAGAAGAUAGAUAGGUGUGUGUAUGUAGAGGUGUGUGUAUAUAUUUGCAGAGACUUCGAUGAUUUUGUUUAUUAAUUUAUAAGGAUUAAAUUAUAUCUACGGUAAAAUAUAUCGAGAUUCGAGAUUGAAUAUAUAUUUGUCAAUUGUGCUUCUGAGAUUAUUCAUGUAAUUUAAAAUUUUAAAUAAAGUGGGUGUUGAAAAUCACUUGUUGUAAGUCAAUGUAUGCAACUUUGUGCAGAGUAAUUAAAGAUGAAGACCGGAUGGAAACGCUAAAGCUGGCCAUGAUCUAAAGUUUAACCCUUGAAUAAUCAUAGUAGUGCAGCUGUGCAGCCCCAGUGAAGACGCUUCCAACUCGACAAUGGCUAGUAGUAAAGAUAUUUAAUGGCUAGUUGUAGGAUUUACGAUUUAGUGCUUUGUUUAUAUUUUGGGUGCUUUGUGUCAAAUAUGACUUAGUGCUUUGUGUUAAAUUUUUUGAUGCUUUGUUCACGGACAUUUGGUGCUUUGCGUGAAAUAUUUGGUGCUUGGUGCUUUAUAUUUUUUUGGUGCUUUGUGUAUUUUUUUGGUGCUCUGCGGGUAUUAUUUUAUGCUUCGUGUAUAUUUUUAAAUUACUAUUCUGUAUGUGUUUUUAAAUUAGUG
rnacentral:lncRNA from 1 species